rnacentral:pre_miRNA from 1 species
UCUUAUGGAUGAGCAAAGAAAGUGGUUCUUGAGACAGAAACUGCUCUUGGUGAAGAACUUAUGAA